rnacentral:pre_miRNA from 1 species
GUUAGCAAGAUGGAGAAGCAGGGCACGUGCAACACUAACUCAGGGGUCUGAACUCAGAAAAUUCUCACAUUCUUUUCUGUUAUAGAGACCACAUAUUUGCUGCAGCGAGUUAGUCCUUCAUGUGCCCCUCUUCCCCAUCAUGACAAC